rnacentral:tRNA from 1 species
GCCUAGAUAGCUUAGUUGGUAGUGCGUCUGCGUUACAAGCGCUAGGUCACGGGUUUGAUACCCGUUCGGGGCG